UUCAAGGUGAUUUUUGUAACAUACAUUUAAGAUUUGUUUCUAUUCUCCCAAACUCAAUACUUUAUAAUAUUAUCCAAUCAGCAUUCAGUAAUUAAUCACGUGACUCCAACUUAGCGUCACUCUACAAUUUUGACUUGCUUGUAGGCAGGCGUGGCUGCAAAUAAAGUGUGAUCUGUAUUUUAUAAAACUUGGGAGUUAAUGUGAUUUUCGAUGAUCAUAUCAACGUUUUCUUAAUCUGGUGCAGUUUUUUUUAAAACAGUAAGUGAGGAAAUUGGUUUCCUUUGUUUACUUUGUCAAUUUAUGUGCAUGUGCUGUGGGAAGUCGGUCAGUACAGGGGACGCUAUGUAAUUAUAAGCGAUUGCCUAAUGGAUAUCAACAAACCACUUAACGUAUGUAUUAUUGGAGACUCUUAUAUUCGCCGGUUGAAGGAAUUCUGUAUGACGAAGGACAUGUUAAAUCUAAGGUUACAAAAACAGUUUUGUUCGAUAAACUUUCGUGGAAAAGGGGGGCUUCGUGCACGCCGUGUUAAACACUUAGCGGGCGGAUCUAGGCAUGCGUUGCUCCGUUUUGACGAGGUCCCCGACGUGAUUUUCAUACAAAUAGGAGGAAAUGACAUCUCAGGAUCUACGAACUCUGCUCAACUGGCCAAAGAUAUUGUUUCCUUGGCGGAAUAUUUGGUGCUAGUUGUCGGAUUCGUAGACUCCCGUUCGCCACCUGUCCGGGAUACAACGACAUGGUGAUACGGAUCAACAUCCAACUGGAGAUGAUGACAAAAAACUUAUCGGGAGUGGUAUUUUUGGCGUCACCGUGGUUUCUGGGCUUCCCUGUCUUAUCUUGGGCCAGAUGGUGUACACCUAGAUUGCACCCCUUCCCACAGCCAGCCUAUGAGGAAAUAUCUUCGGAGUAUAAGAAAUGCUGUAAUUCAGGCUCCAAAAUUCCUCAGGCCAGUAUAAUUUUUAAGUUUGCACGGAAUUGUUUAUAUUUUCCGUUAUGUGUAUAUAGAAUAUUUUAAUAUACACUGACCUAGGCUUAAUUUCAAGCAAAGCAUUCAUAUCAGAUCAACAUCCGUUGAAUUGUAUUUGACAUGUAUAUGGCAUCUUGGUAAUAUGGUACCUAUGUUCUAUUGAUCGACUCUUGUAAUUAUGUUCAACAUCCACAUGCAGGUACUAUUUGCUUUCUGUUCAACAAACAAGGCAUGUGCAUAAUGACAUUUAAAUGCGUCUUAUGCAAUAUAUUGAUACAUAGUCUAUCUCUAUUUUAUUACAGUCCAAGAUAAUCCUAGCAGCAAUUUCAAUUCAAUGCAUAUUGAAUCUUUCUUGUACAUAUAUGGGUCAAUUACUAGAUACCUAUACAUAGUAAUCGUGUGAAUUAGAAUUUUAUUCAUUUUUAUUUGCAAGCGGGUCAAAGUUGCUCAUUUUUAUGUGGGUCUGAGUUAACCCAUAAAUUUCUGUGGGCCGGAGUUACCCAUAUCUUCUUUUGAGUCGGAGUUACCCAUAUUUUUUAUUUGGGUCGGAGUUACCCUUAUUUGUUCAUUGGGUCGGAGUUACUCACAUUUAUAUUUUGGGUCGGAGUUACCCAGAUUUACAUUUUGGGUCAGAGUUACCCAGAUUUACAUUUUGGGUCGGAGUUACCCAGAUUUACAUUUUUGGGUCGGAGUUACCCAGAUUUACAUUUUUGGGUCGGAGUUACCCAGAUUUAGUUUGUGUCGGAGUCAACCAUUGCUAUUUUAUAAUGGGUCAGAAUUAUACAUUUAUGUAGAGUAUCCCAGGGAUUGGUUGCACUUUAGAUUUCAUUUAAUAGUGGUAAACCAUAUCUCUUGAUGUUUGUCACCCUGUUUGUACUUCGUGAUUGAGUAUUUAUACGUUAGGCACAAUUUACUCUCAAUACCUAUUUUAAUUUGUGUCGUUUUACCUUAUUUCUUAAUGAAAUUAUAAUUUAGUUCAAAAUCACAAUGGUCAUGUGGUCUGCUGAUAGUGCAUUAAGCAAAUAUUAUUAUCAUUAUCCUUUUAUAUCAGUUCAGGUUUCUUAAGCAUAGUAAAUCAUUAUUCUACUUUUACAUGUCUGUGUGUAUGGCAGUUAUUACAUACUCACCCUUCAUCAGUUAAGCAUGCACCUUGUGCAUUACAUAUGUAGGUGUAUACUAUGUAUUUCUAUACUGAUUUGACAUUUCUCGUGGCAAAUUGGUUGCUAAAUAAUGCCACCUUUCAUAGUUAUUUGACAAUUUGUUGUAAAAUGUGUAUUGUUACAGGAACAAUGCCAUCCAAGCCCAGCCAGCGCCUGUCAGCGAAGCGCAGGAGAGUUAACUCUCCAGGUAGCUCAGAAGCUCCCAAUUUCACAUGUGCAAGUGAUUCAGUGCGAAAUGAUCCGAAUCCCAUUCAAGCAAGUUCAAGUGGAGUGAACACUUUAGCCUCACAAAUAGACUAUGCAGAAUUAGCAAAGCAUAUAGUUGCCCAACAGAGACAACAAGGAACAGAAAUUCAGCAGGAGGCAUCAGCACAGCCACAAACUAUAAGUGAGCUCAUCUAUGUUAAAUGGCAGUGAGGGAAAUCAGGAUGUGUCGGCCUCCAACUUAAGUUCCUUGUUGGACAAUGUUUUCACAGGUGAGUCGGCAAGUAGGUCACAAAGUCAAAUGCCAAUAGAAUUGUGUGAUACUGUGCCACUUGGGGCAACAGUGUCACAAAAAAUAAAACAAAAGAUAUGGAAUCACGAAUUCGUAGAUUUAAAAUCUUUGCUUCCAUCCUCAGGUGAAGAACCACUGGCCAUUACGGUCAAAGCUGGUAAAAUAGAGGUUAACCAGGCAUCCAACAAUAAAACUCCACUAAGCAUUAAUCAGUGGACAGAUGCUUUCUUAAUCUUUGCAUCAAUUUACUUGCAAAAGUUCCCUAAUGAUUCCUGCAAUAUUCUUAAAUAUGCUUUCACAGUUCGUGAAAUCAGCAGGCUCCUUGUUGAUCAAGCAUGGAGAAAUUAUGAUGAAUCCUUUCGUCGUAUCAGGGAAUCUUCAGUUAUUCCCUGGGAAAGGCCAAUUGCUGAAAUGCGCCUGAAGGCAGCAUCAAUGGGAGUACGUCAAGCAAACAAACCCCAAACUUAUAAAACUAAUAAGGGGCAGUCCUUUCGUUCCACCAAAGUUUGUUUUGCCUACAAUAAAGGUCAGCGAUGCAACACCUCUCCCUGCAAGUACGCCCACUUAUGUCAAGAGUGCAAUGGUCAACAUUCCAAAUUCAAAUGCACAGGGGCAAAAUCAAACUGGUCAACCUCCCAACCCCAGUCAAACAUUGCAAAUGCCAAUCCUUCCAACCCCAAUAAACCCGCUAAAUUUGCAAAGUAAGCUCCAGGGUUAUGACCCUCUUAAACUUAACUAUCUGAUUGAAGGCAUUAGGUAUGGUUUUCGACUUGGUUGUUCAAAGUCACCAUCAAUUCAUCCUCCACACAACCAUAAAUCUGCUUAUUCUUAUCCUCAGGUAGUAGAAGAAUACAUUACCUCUGGCUUAUCAACAAGUAGUAUCAUGGGUCCAUUUGCUGUACCCCCAUUUCGGAAUUUUAAGACUUCACCAUUAGGCGUGGUUCCUAAGUCUGAGCCAAAUAAAUUUCGUAUCAUUCAUGAUCUUUCUUUUCCUCAGAAUGACUCAGUAAAUUCUAACAUACCUAAAGAGCACUCACAGGUUCAAUAUGAUUCCAUAGACACAGUAGUGUCCCUUAUAUAUAAGUUUGGCCGGGGAUCUUUGAUGGCAAAGUCAGACAUAAAUGACGCUUUCCGUAUUAUGCCUGUUAGUCCACAUGAUUAUCAUCUUCUCGGGUUUAUUUGGAGGGACCAUUUCUAUUAUGAACGUUGUUUACCUAUGGGAGCCAGCUGUUCUUGUCAGAUUUUUUAGAAACUUAGCGAAGCUUUGCAAUGGUUUAUGAUGACAAAAUUCCAUGCUGCGGGUAUGUCACACAUUUUAGACGAUUUCUUUUUUAUUGGUCCCCCUAAUUCAGAGAAAUGUAAGGUAGAUCUUGCAGUCUUUCUUGCACUUUGUCAAAGAGUUGGUAUCCCUAUCAAUAAGAAAAACACUUUUGGUCCUCUAACAAAGUUGGUGAUUUAUGGUAUAGAAGUUGAUUCAAUUGAGAUGAUGAGUCGCUUGUCUCAAGAUAAGAUUGACAAAUGCCGUAACCUACUUCUAGCUUUUGCUUUACGCAAGAAGGUAACACUAAGAGAACUUCAGUCUCUGAUAGGAGUUUUGAAUUUUGCGUGUUCUGUUAUAAUCCCGGGACGUGUUUCCUGAGGCGUUUGAUUGACCUUACCAUAGGAGUUACCAAAUCUCAACAUUUUAUUCGUUUGUCAUGUGAGGCUAGAGCAGAUAUGUCUAUGCGGUUGCAGUUUCUUGAUCAGUUUAAUGGAAAGUCUGUACUCUUUUCUGAAUCUUGGGAAUCUUCUGAUGUCAUACGUUUCUACACAGAUGCUUCGGGUUCGCUAGGCUUUGCAGCUGUAUUUGGCGCCACAUGGUUGGUUGGUUCAUGGACCGAUGAGAUGGCUACCUUUCAAAUUGCUAUUAAGGAAUUAUUUCCCAUUGUUUUAAGUCAUGAAAUAUGGGGUACUCAGUUGAAAAACAAAAAAGUUCUCUUCAUGUCAGACAAUAUGGCAGUGGUACAAAUCAUAAAUAAGCAAUCUAGCAAGGAUAAGACUUUAAUGAGGCUUGUGGGGCGCUUGGUUCUCACUUGUCUUACACAUAAUAUUUUUUUCAAGGCAAAACACAUUCCUGGAAAGUAUAACAUCAUUGCAUAUAGGUUGUCUCGUUUCCAAUUUCAGGAGGCUCGUCGUCUGGCGCCACUCCUGGACAUACAACCAACGGCGGUUCCUCCACAGCUGUUGCAAAUUUGAGUUCUGUCACCCAGACAAUCUUAAGGGCUUCUUUGUCAGUUUCAACUAGGGCUGCAUACAAACACUCGUGGGAGCUAUACAUGGCGAUGUCUCCAAAUAUAGUUUCAUUACCUUUGCCUUUGCAGAGCAUUUGUAAUUUUAUAGGAUAUCUGUUUGAGAAACAGUAUAGUGCCAGUAGUAUUGCCUCUCAUAUCUCAGCUCUCAGCUAUGUUCAUAAGCUCUUGGAUGUUAAAGACCCUACUCAAUCUUUCAUUGUAAAGAAACUUUUGAGGGGAUGUCACAAGCUAACUCCCUCUAAGGAUUCUAGAUUGCCCGUUACGAAAGAAAUACUUUGUAAAUUACUUAAUGCCACAGACUUUACUGUUCCCCAGGCUCUCAACAAAUUGCUGCUCAAAGCUCUGUAUUUACUUAGCUUUAAUGCUUUCCUCCGUUUAGGUGAAGUUGUCAUCAAAUCACCCUCAGACUGCAAUAAGGUAAUUCAGGUUCAAGAUGUUUCCUUCCGAAUGAAACGAAAAGACCCACUUUCUCUUCAAAUAACCAUACACCACCACAAAUCUCAAAAGAACAGUGACCCUGUCAUUAUCACAAUUCAAAGUAACCCACAUAGUGCACAUUGCCCAGUGCUUAGUCUAUAUCGCUAUAAAAGCUCCUUUCCACAUACAUCAGGUCCAUUAUUUCAAUUCACCAAUGGGGUUCCAGUUCCUUAUUCUUAUGUUUGUGGGCAGCUGUUCAAAGCAGCAAUAUUUGCAGGUCUUGACCCCAGACGUUACAAAGGUCAUAGUUUUCGCAUUGGAGCUGCCACUCAUGCUCCUUGGUUAGGUUUCUCAGAAAAUUAUAUUCAGCAUUUAGGUCGUUGGAAUUCAAAUGUGUUACAUCGGUACAUAAGAAUACAAUUUUUCAAAUUAUAAGCUAGCACAUUUUGCGAUUACUAUAACAUUAACUAAAAUUUAUACAUUCAAGCAGGUCAGUGUCUCACUGCUGCUUUAAGCAUCAUAACAUUUGUACAUGUGGGUCAUUUCCAUGUCUUAUUUAUAUAUAUUUUUAUUUUGGGUGAAGAUCAAGUUUGUUAACUGUUAGAUCAAGUUUGUUAACAUCAAAAUUCUUUUGAGUUUUCUGGAACGAUUAUUUGAUGCAUGUAUGUAUUUCUAUAGCUUGACCUACUUGCCGGCAUUAAUGACUUUACUUUGUUUAUAGUUUUGAUCUUAUGAACAUAUACUCAUUCCUGUUUGCAUAAAAAGCCACAUGCUUGAUAUCAGGACAGUGUUUCACUGCUGUUAUCAUUACAUGUUUUCUGUUAUAAAAUGUAUUCUCAUUUAGUUGUGAUUGAUUCUAGUCUUCAUCAAGGUUGCAUGUUUAUUUAGAUUAUUAGUCUUAGUCUACUUUGUACAUUUUAACGUGUUAUUUGACAAGCUAGUGUCUCACUGCUGUCAUCCAUUUUUGACAAAUUGUUAUUUUGAAUUUGUGUUAUUUGUUUUAUGUAUUAUUCACGAUUGUUGAAACUACUCAGGAAGGUUUUCUUUGUGUAAGUGAUGAGGGUUGAUUUUAAUGUCCAUACCUGUAUUUUGUUGCUCGCAAGCUCACCUUGGAUGGCACGGGAUGUGAUCUGUUGAUCUCAUCUUGUGGCCAAUUUUUUGAUGUGCCAUCUUUUUGCUGCAUCUUUGUAAGGUUGUUUUUUAUUGUAGUUGAUGUAGACUUUUAUAGAUAAAUUUGGGGGAUCAGACAUAUUGAAUUAUUUUGUCAUUGUUUAUUUUCUUUCUCCAUUUCAGUGACAUUUUCAGUGGAUUGUUUGUGAGUCUGAUCCCCUUGUUGGUAGUUUGUUAUCUAGUUCGUCAUUUGAAUAAAUGACAUUUUUCAUACUCAA